CUCCUGGCUGCCAGGGCACUGCUGCCUCAUGUCCUACUUGCCAUUGACCAGGACCCCCAGGGCCCUUUCAUGGCACUGCUCUCCAGGCCCUCGUUCCCCAGUCUGUCUGUACAUCCAGGGUUGCCCCAUUCUAGGUGCAGAGUUUGGCACUUGUCUUUGUUGCUCUUCAUACAGUUUUCCUUUUCUCCUUCUUUACUUGCAAGAUUAGUGCAAACUGAAUAGAUGAACAUUCCAAGCUUGCUGCUAACUCAUCUAUACAUGUUAUUGUAAUACCAUUACUCAUGUAUGCGUAUUAUUCAUGUUAGUCUGUGAGUAAUUUCUAGGUUUUCAGCAGGGAAUUCUGAUCAAAUACACUGAUCCAUGACAGCCAAACAAGUACAAUUUUUGAGAGAGUAUCUCUGGGGGUUUUUUUCACAAAAUUUUGAAUAAUUUCUCUCCAAAGUGCAAAAAACAUGCUUGAAAAUAUGAGUGUAAAUUAUUUUAGUGUAAAACGCCUCACAACUUACCUCAUUGUUGCCACGUAGGAUUGUUUUUCUGGCUUCUUUUUACAGGGCAGUUUUUUGUGAUCGUUGAAUCUGCUGGAAAUUAAAGGGACUCUAUAACUGGAGAUCAACAGUUAUCCACAUGCUACCCAGCAUUCUUUUACAAGUAAAAGGGAACAAACAAUCAUGCCUGACUUCUAAAAAUUAUUAGCAGCAGUGGCAACACAGCAUUUAUGAGGUGCACUCUAUUCCCAUCAAAUGUGCUUUUGAAGAAGUGAACCUCAGAUCCUCUUUCAGCAGCUUGCAACACUUACCAGUGCUAUUGUAAUGAUUAAUUAAACUUUAAAUGCAUACUUAAAACGAAAAUAUAAAUACUGUUUGCUGUUUAUGAGACUUUGCUAGCCAUACCUUCUAGUGCUUACAAAAGGUGUAGUGAUAGCCAAUGAUGAUAUUACUAUCUAUUCUCAAAAUAAACGUCUAUUUAGUUGUUUUAAAAUUAGCAUCACGGCACUUUCCAACAAGCAAAUGCAGAUAAGUUUCGCCAAUUAAGUUAGGAAAUUUCAAUGCCAGAUUGACGUCUUUUAGAAAAUCAUACAGUAUUGCAGACAACACAAAAUUGUCGAAAAUAAAAUCGCUACAUCAA